rnacentral:rRNA from 1 species
UGGGGAAUAUUGCACAAUGGGCGCAAGCCUGAUGCAGCCAUGCCGCGUGUGUGAAGAAGGCCUUCGGGUUGUAAAGCACUUUCAGCGAGGAGGAAGGUGGUGAGCUUAAUACGCUCAUCAAUUGACGUUACUCGCAGAAGAAGCACCGGCUAACUCCGUGCCAGCAGCCGCGGUAAUACGGAGGGUGCAAGCGUUAAUCGGAAUUACUGGGCGUAAAGCGCACGCAGGCGGUUUGUUAAGUCAGNUGUGAAAUCCCCGGGCUCAACCUGGGAACUGCAUUUGAAACUGGCAAGCUAGAGUCUCGUAGAGGGGGGUAGAAUUCCAGGUGUAGCGGUGAAAUGCGUAGAGAUCUGGAGGAAUACCGGUGGCGAAGGCGGCCCCCCUGGACGAAGACUGACGCUCAGGUGCGAAAGCGUGGGGCAGCAAACAGGAUUAGAUACCCUGGUAGUCCAGCGCUGUAAACGAUGUCGAUUUGGAGGUUGUGCCCUUGAGGCGUGGCUUCCGGAGCUAACGCGUUAAAUCGACCGCCU